CCUACGGGUGGCAGCAGUCGAGAAUCAUUCACAAUGGGGGAAACCCUGAUGGUGCGACGCCGCGUGGGGGAAUGAAGGUCUUCGGAUUGUAAACCCCUGUCAUGUGGGAGCAAAUUAAAAAGAUAGUACCACAAGAGGAAGAGACGGCUAACUCUGUGCCAGCAGCCGCGGUAAUACAGAGGUCUCAAGCGUUUUUCGGAAUCACUGGGCGUAAGGCGUGCGGAGGCUGUUUCGUAAGUCGUGUGUGAAAGGCGCGGGCUCAACCCGCGGACGGCACAUGAUACUGCGAGACUAGAGUAAUGGAGGGGGAACCGGAAUUCUCGGUGUAGCAGUGAAAUGCGUAGAUAUCGAGAGGAACACUCGUGGCGAAGGCGGGUUCCUGGACAUUAACUGACGCUGAGGCACGAAGGCCAGGGGAGCGAAAGGGAUUAGAUACCCUUGUAGUC
rnacentral:rRNA from 1 species